rnacentral:tRNA from 1 species
CGAUGAUUAUCCCAGUGGUUAGAGCGUAGGUCUCAUAACCGAAAGGUUGCGGGAUCGAAUACCGCUAGAGGCUG